CAGAUGACAGCAGAGGGAUGGGAGUAGUAGUGACACAGGUGACAGAAGAGGGAUGGGAGAAGUACUGGUACAGGUGACAGCAGAGGGAUGGGAGUAGUAGUGACACAGGUGACAGCAGAGGGAUGGGAGUAGUAGUGACACAGGUGACAGCAGAGGAAUGGGAGG